UGUGAUGUAGACUGAGACACUAUCACAGUUUUUCACAACAUUUUACUUUGUUCAAUUUGGUCACUAAAAAUGGGUUGGAGCUCGUACUUUUUCUCUCAGAGUGAUGCAUUUAACUUUAAAAUAUGCAAAAUUUUCAGUUAGACUUUAUUUUAAGGUAUCCUUAUUACCUGUUACAUGUUAUUAAUUAACAACACGCACUUACUGUAAGGUCAGGGUUUAGUUUAGGGUUAGUUGCAUGUAAUUAUGCAUAUCUUACUGUUGUUACUACAGUAAGCACAUGUAUCGUGUAACAGGGAUGCUGUAAAAUAAAGUGUUACCCAAUGUUCUUAUGGUGGGUGAGACUUAGAGGUUCAGAUUCAGCCUCCACAGUCUCACGAAAUCCUGUCUGUGGGGGGAUGACAAUCACAAUUAAAAACAAAGAUAUCUUAUUUGUGAUGCUCUUAUGAAAGCGUGGCUUUGUAAGUAACACUUGUUGUUUUGUGUGCAGUGAGUCUGCAGAUGAUCCAGAUCAGUUCCUCUACGUGUUGAGCAGAAUUGACCUUUCUGCGCACAUGCAGACGUGAGGAAGUGAUGUCAUUGCUCGAGUGUGAGGUCACAUGAAGGGACGCGGGAGGGUCAGAGGUCAGCGGAUGCUCGUGACGUCAGAGAGCCUGUGAUGGGAGGUUUCUACAGAUGGAUAGAGUCGAGAGAUUCAGCAGAAACACAUUAAACAUGAGCAGUGUUUGCAGGAACAUGAAAUGUUGUAGUCUUGAGGUUUUAGGUUUCUUCACAUGAUCAGUGACAAACCGUAAUGUCUUUAAAACUGUUACCUGUGUGAACAUGACUGACUGAGUUUAACCAGUUCAUCUCUUUAACUAGUUGGAAUUUCAUUUUAUAAAACUUUAGCAUCUCCGGAUUAACUUUUAUCUAAUUAUUGUUCUUUCUAUUUUUGUACCAGUUUGUCUUUUUUACCUAAUAAUAAAAAUGAAGCAGUUUUAAUAGAG